rnacentral:rRNA from 1 species
CCUACGGGAGACUGCAGUGGGGAAUAUUGCACAAUGGGGGAAACCCUGAUGCAGCGACGCCGCGUGAGUGAAGAAGUAUCUCGGUACGUAAAGCUCUAUCAGCAGGGAAGAAAAUGACGGUACCUGACUAAGAAGCCCCGGCUAACUACUUGCCAGCAGCCGCGGUACUACGUAGGGUGCAAGCGUUAUCAGGAUUUACUGGGUGUAACUGGAGCGUAUACGGCAGCACAAGUCUGGAGUGAAAUCACGGGGCUUAACCCCGGAACUGCUUUGGAAACUGUGCGGCUGGAGUGCAGGAGGGGUAAGCGGAAUUCCUAGUGGAGCGGUGAAAUGCGUAGAUAUUAGGAGGAACACCGGUGGCGAAGGCGGCUUACUGGACUGUAACUGACGUUGAGGCUCGAAAGCGUGGGGAGCAAACAGGAUUAGAUACCCGAGUAGUC